rnacentral:tRNA from 1 species
GCCUUCGUGGUGUAGUGGUCAGCACGCUCGGCGCAUACAUUUGCUAUUCGAGAGGUCCGAGGUUCGAGUCCCAGUGAGGGCA